CGAGUCGGUGACGGCGAGCUAAUCUCCUUAAAGCCAAUCUCAGUUCGGAUUGUAGGCUGCAACUCGCCUACAUGAAGUCGGAAUCGCUAGUAAUCGCGGAUCAGCACGCCGCGGUGAAUACGUUCCCGGGCCCU
rnacentral:rRNA from 1 species